CCUACGGGUGGCUGCAGUAGGGAAUAUUGGACAAUGGGUGCGAGCCUGAUCCAGCCAUGCCGCGUGCAGGAAGAAGGCGUUAUGCGUUGUAAACUGCUUUUGCCAGGGGAUAAAAUAACUGUGCGCAGUUGAUUGAAGGUACCUGGUGAAUAAGCCACGGCUAACUACGUGCCAGCCGCCGCGGUCAUACGUAGGUGGCAAGCGUUGUCCGGAUUUAAUGGGUUUGAAGGCGGCGUUGUAGGUCAUGGGUGAAAUAUAUCAGCUUAACUGAGAGGGUGCCAUUGAUACUGCGGGGCUUGAGUACAGAUGAGGUAGGCGGAAUUGACGGUGUAGCGGUGAAAUGCAUAGAUAUCGUCAAGAACACCGAUAGCGAAGGCAGCUUACCAAGCUGUAACUGACGCUGAGGCACGAAAGUGUGGGGAUCAAACAGGAUUAGAUACCCGAGUAGUC
rnacentral:rRNA from 1 species